GACGGAGGGGGCUAGCGUUGUUCGGAAUUACUGGGCGUAAAGCGCGCGUAGGCGGCUUUGUAAGUUAGAGGUGAAAGCCCGGAGCUCAACUCCGGAAUUGCCUUUAAGACUGCAUCGCUAGAAUCAUGGAGAGGUGAGUGGAAUUCCGAGUGUAGAGGUGAAAUUCGUAGAUAUUCGGAAGAACACCAGUGGCGAAGGCGACUCACUGGACAUGUAUUGACGCUGAGGUGCGAAAGCGUGGGGAGCAAACAGG
rnacentral:rRNA from 1 species